rnacentral:rRNA from 1 species
AUUGAACGCUGGCGGCAUGCCUAACACAUGCAAGUCGAACGGCAGCACAGCAGUAGCAAUACUGUGGGUGGCGAGUGGCGGACGGGUGAGGAAUACGUCGGAAUCUGCCCAGUCGUGGGGGAUAACUAGCCGAAAGGUUAGCUAAUACCGCAUACGACCGAGAGGUGAAAGCGGGGGACCGCAAGGCCUCGCGCGAUUGGAUGAGCCGACGUCGGAUUAGCUAGUUGGCGGGUAAAGGCCCACCAAGGCGACGAUCCAUAGCUGGUCUGAGAGGAUGAUCAGCCACACUGGAACUGAGACACGGUCCAGACUCCUACGGGAGGCAGCAGUGGGGAAUAUUGGACAAUGGGCGCAAGCCUGAUCCAGCAAUGCCGCGUGUGGUGAAGAAGGCCUUCGGUUGUAAG